GCUUACGGCCACACCUACCUCAGCACGCCCGAUCUCGUCUGAUCUCGGAAACAAAGCAGGGUCGGGCCUGGUUUGUACUUGGAUGGGAGACCGCCCUGGGAAUACCAGGUGCUGUAAGCC
ensembl:rRNA 5S_rRNA 5S ribosomal RNA